ACCAUCCUUUCUUAGGGAUGCACUACUGUCCAAUGAGUACAUAGCAAGGGUAGUACUAUUAACACCUAAAAAAAAAAUAGCUUUUCUCAGAUUUUCAAAAAUAUUCAGUCUCUAAAAGAUUUUUGAACUA